rnacentral:rRNA from 1 species
UAAGGAAUAUUGGACAAUGGGCGAAAGCCUGAUCCAGCAAUACCGCGUGAAUGAUGAAGGCCUUAGGGUUGUAAAGUUCUUUUAGUAGGGAAGAUAAUGACGGUACCUACAGAAAAAGCCCCGGCUAACUCCGUGCCAGCAGCCGCGGUAAGACGGAGGGGGCUAGCGUUGUUCGGAAUUACUGGGCGUAAAGGGCGCGUAGGCGGAUUAGUAAGUUGGGAGUGAAAGCCCGGGGCUCAACCUCGGAACUGCUUUCAAAACUGCUAGUCUAGAGUGAAGUAGGGGGUGAUGGAAUUCCUAGUGUAGAGGUGAAAUUCUUAGAUAUUAGGAGGAACACCGGUGGCGAAGGCGGUCACCUGGACUUCAACUGACGCUGAGGCGCGAAAGCGUGGGGAGCAAACAGG